UUCUCUUCUUAAGGGAGAGACAAAGCCAGUCCUAAAUUGGCAUAGGUCUCCCAAAGAAGUACUUGGGAGAGGGGACAAUUUGGAAUCCCUGAAAGAGAAAGAGAUAUAGGUACGUGGAGGGCAGAUGCUGGAAACAGCAUCGAUCUAGUACUCCUGGGGCUCAUUUACCCCCUAGCAAGCAAUUGGAUACGUGCACAGAGAGUUGUCAUUGGGAGCAUACACUCUCAAUGCUGGCCUACAGGGCAGGAGGGUGCUCAGAUAGCUUGUGAGUCUGGGGGCCAGCCUGUGACCCUACAAAAUGAGCUGCAGGAGGGCCCUGCUUUCUUGCUACCUCCACAGUGGCAGCCAGAGCAGAAGAAACAGACCACACCAAGCCUAAAGCAGAGUCACCAAUGAAAGCAGCACUCCUACGUUUGAACAGCCUCUUGUCUUCUGCCUGGGCAAUUCCCUGGUUCAACAUGUCUGAACAGCCAUCACCCCACGAGCAAUGUUUUAGUGCCUUGGAGUGCUGCUCCUGCCAGCCCGAAGCCCUGCAGCCUCACACAGCUAACACUAGAGGGUAGGCAGCCCAGACCCAAGGAUUGGCCAGUCUGGGGGACACAGACUUAAUGAAGGAGAGAAAAAAAUAUACAGAUGUAAGCAGUCUUUAGAACAUAGAACCUGCAUAAAUUAGCGAGUGUUUGGGGGUUGGGCAGGUAGGGAACUGAAGCCCAGGUUUCUGAGCAAUGAGACUUUGGCUGGCAGGGCCAUUUACCAAAACAUAUAAGGCAAGGAGAUGUUUGGAGGGCUCAGGUUUGAACAGGGGGAGUUGGAGAUUCUGAAUCUCUUAAACAGAAACAUCCAGGAGACAAUCUCAGGAGACGGAAAGAUUAGACUGGAGAUUUGUCAGUGUAUGUUGGUGAAAGAGCCGUGGGAACAAAUGGCCUCACCCAGGGAGAGUACCUUGUGAGAAGACAAGGCUAAAGCCCCAGUCCUUGAGCAACAGCAGCAUUAAAGGACUGGGCAGAAGAAAAGGUGUCUAAGAAGGAUAGCCCAAGGAUCAGGAGGAAAACAAGGGAUGUGAGGGGGCCCAGAGGUCAAUCUCUGUCCACCUGACUGGGAGCAUUGGCCACUUCCCAGGGUUACUGCCAUAGCAUUGGACACAGUUUCUUCUCUUCUAUUCCAGGCACUUCUAUAAUCACAAGUUAUUUUUCUUUGUUCUUUAAUUGAAUCUUUUGGUUACAGAAGAAAUACAUGCUCAUUGUAACAAGGAAAAUAAAACAGAGAUGUAUGGGGGAACUAUCAGAAAAAAUUCCUCCUAAGUCUUCUCUUAGCCCCUACCACACACACCCACACCCACCCAACCACCUACCCUCCCCCACACACACCAUGCACACACAUAUAUGCACACACACAGGUUUGUUUUUUGCUUUAUAUUUCACACAAAUGGGAAACCAUAUCUAUUACUUAGAAAAUUGUUUUUGCAUAAUAUAUUAUGGACCUAUAUAUUUAUAUAUUUCAUUCUCUUGUCGAUUGCUAUUUAAUGAUCUGUAGUUUGGCUGCACUGAUGUAUUUUUUUCAUUCCCAAAUAUUCUUGAGAUCAUACUCGGUGUUAUGGUCCUCUUUUUUCACUUAGUAUUAAAUCAAUUCUCCGUGUCACUAAACACACUUUGUAAAUAUAGUUUCGAUGACUACAUCAUAGUACAGAGUAUGAGUAUAUCAUAAUUUAUUUAACCAUUAUUUACUUUCUGCCAAUUUGGGCCAUUAAAAAUAAUACCAUAAUGAACAUUAUAGAGCAUUAAGCUAUGUCCACAUUUCUGGCUAUUUUCUUUAGGAUAUGAACACUUUUAGAGUCUUUGUCCAAGUUACCAAGUUGCUUUUUCCAGAGAGACUAUAACAAUCUGCGUUCCCACUAGCAAUGAUUGAGAGGUACUCCCCACAUCUUUUCUUAAAUGCUUAUUAAUUUGUUAGAUAGAAGUGAUGUUUUCUCACUUUAAUUUGCAUUUCAGAUUAUUAGUGAGGUUAGCUUUGCUCAAGUUAAUUAUCAUUUUGUGAUUCUCUUACGGAGGGGUUGGUCAGGGCCACCCGUGGCUCUUCAUUUCUAAAUCUGCCCUUCCUCCUUCAUCGCCAGCCCUGCCUCAGAUGCUUAUUUCCCACCCGGGGCUCCAAGAGAGCCCUCUCCUUCCUGGUUCUGCAUCUUCCUGGCCAUCUGCUCACAAACCUCUCUCAUUCCCACCUCAGUCCCAUAGCUGGUCUCUCUCAUGGCUUCUGUGCCUGUGGGGUGCUCUUUUUCUGCCUCCUCUGCACUGGAGAACCAAACACGAGCCUAGAGUUUUCAAGCAGGCUGACAGGAUCCACCAUCAGACUGGGGUCAGUGCUGAACUUGGGCAGACACAGCCAGGGCCCUUCCUGCCCUGCACUGGGCCCAGGUAAAUGGGGGGCCACAGUGGGGGCCUAACUAGCUGGGACUCUGUACAACUCUGUCUCAUCUUUUCCUUUCCCAUUUGCCUCCUCUCCCCAUUAUUCCAACUCGGGCUUUCAUUUUCGCAAAUGAUACAAUUUGGUGGUUUGGGGUUUCUGCAGGAGAAUUUCUGUGAUCCUCAGAGCGCUGGGACCUGUUUGCACUCGUUAGGGAAGAGAGACUCUGGACGCUCUGCAGACCCCGUCAGGCUGUGGUAAUAAGCAGGGGCUGUUUGAGCUGCAAAGUGUAAACCUGGUCCUUCUUAGUGAGACUCUGCAGAAAUCCCACUGGAGAUUUUUCUGCCCCUGCCCUGUCUACUUUCCUUCAUAAUGAUAAAUGGCUGAAAAGAAAACUAUCUAAUCUCCAAACUGCUUGCUUUUUUUCUACUCUUUCUUCAAGGAGAGAAGGAAGAACACAGUCACAUAAAACAGAGUCCUUCAUCGCCUGCUUCUCAGGAGACGGUUCUUUCCCUUUUCAUCCCAGGCCUGUUUCUGAUCUCUGAUGGGCUCGCACUGAAAGCUCCAGCAGGCCCCUCUAAUCAGCUGCGACAGACGCUGCAGUUGCUUGGGUCGCCCAUCGAAAUUGAAUUGAUUACCCGGCCCCUUUGCCAUUUUGUUCUGCACACAAUUGCUUAAUAGCUGUCACCUUGGCUUUCAGUCCCAACCGGCUGCAGGCUGACUGGUUCCCAUUACUCAGGAUGGCCAGUGCAAGUUCAUCACCUUUACAGGAUGUCCCUGAUUGAUUCCGUAUGCCUGGGAGACCUGUAAUAUAUUUGCAUAGGAGCAGGGCGUCGCUGGGGGACGUAAUAGAAAUCUCUGGGCUGCCGGGACUGCCAGAUUUAGCUGCGGGCUCGCCAUAUUUGAAUCAUUACAGGGCUUCUUGUCGGGAGUCUGGCCUCUGCUGACAUAGCUGCUAAUGAAUUUGUAAAAUUUUCUAAAAAUACAAAACAACCCAGCCUGUCCUAACCUUUGCUGUCGCCACCUGCUGCCUGGGUGGGGAAGGCAAACAGAACCAGGCUUUUCCUGCCUGAGCUUGUGCUGGUCUUUUGAAAUGACAGUCUCUCCCUCCCCACUCCCUUGCCCUGCCUGCCAACUGGGGCUUGGAGGGGGACAUCUUUCAAGUGAAAUCCUUUGCACUGGGAACUACUUCAAUUAGACAGCAGGGGGAAUGUUAACAUGCCCUCCGGCCUUUUAAGUGGGUUUUAAUUUUAUGUUGUAAGAUAAGACCCUGCGAGGCUGGGGCUGCUACUUCUCCAGCAGGCUCCAUUAGUGGGGCAAGCUGAGGCCUCUUGACCCCCUGAGGCCCAGCCAAGACUGGAAGUUGGUUUGUUUUUUAACAAUUUGUCAGUCUGCUCCAGCUUCUCUUUCAUUCUCCAUUUUGUUAUUCCAGGCUCUUCUGUUGUUGGAGGGCAGUUGGGUAGCUGAGCUGCAGCUAAGAGCCUAGCCCAGCUUCACCAAGUGGCUGGCUCUGGGCUGGUGAGCAGAGCCUUGGGGGCUGCCUGCCUAUGGCCUCACAGCUGAAUAUUCAUCUUCCCACACCCCCCCCCCCCCCCCGCCCCUUCCCAGGCAGGGCACUGUAGAAGCAGACACUUUUCAUGUGGCAGGUUUCUGGCCCGAUGAUGUAUGACCUGUUGGCGCUACUGAAUGGUGCCCUUUGUUCCAGGGUAUCCCAUGUGCCCCCUUUUUAUUGACUUGUUGAUUCAGAAGGGCAGGAAAGUUCCACAAAUCCCACUGCAGGCCUUGCUCUCUAGCCAUGUCCAGGUGGGAAAGCCCCAGGACCUCAUGCUUCCCAGAAAGCUGGUAGGAAGAUAUGGGCCGCUUAGACUCAGAAUAUCCCAUAAGAGACAGACAGACAGCUUUCUUUACCUUGGAUUCAGGCAACUGUGUAUCUGGAGAGAGGCUGGGAACCCAUGUCUAGCUCCCAGCCCUCUGCCUGGGGUUCUAGAAGGUGUGGAGUGUUCCAGAAUGCAGUCCACCCAGAAAGAAAAGAACAGAGCAGGUGUGAGUUAGGAUGAACCCACCACUUCUCUGUGUCCUAAGCCAGGUUCAGUUAAGUUUUUCUCUGUGACCAAAAAGCCUAAGGUGGGAGCCAACAGCCAAGGAAAGAAGGAGCUUGGCUUCCUUCUGCAGGAGGAAGUCCACCCAGAGAGCAGCCCUAAAGCCACAGGAAAGGACUCUGGGGAAAUAGGAGACAAGGUGGACUUUUUAUCCAGCAGGAAAUCUCAUCUUCAUCCUGAUGAAGGGUGGACUGGAUUCAUCUCCUUUUUUGCCACUCCAUCUUGUGAGCAAGCUUUAGGGAUGUGGUUGAGGAGGAGGAUGCAGAGGUCUCUGCCAGGCCUUGAAUCCUUUCUCUAGGGUGCAGGUGGCUGAUGAGCUCAUACAUCUGACUGCUCUGGAAAGCCUCAGGUUCUCACUCCAACCUGCUCUUCAGUUCCUCAUCUGAAGAAGCUGCACAGAUCCCACCGAGAAUUCCCUACGUGUAAGACCACCUCCUCCAAACCACCAGGUUGUGUGCUGACUACUGAAAUGUGACAGAUUCUUGUGUACUGCCUGCCUUGCCCUUCUGGGGUCUUUGUGGACCCUGAAAUCCAGACCCAUCAUCUGCAGAGUAGCACGAGAUCAAAGAUACAGCUGUUCCGUUGGUCCUAAAUUCCUUCACUCUAGGCUCAGAGGCUCCAUAGUGUAAAUGCUCAGAGGCACAGAAGAAAUACCAGCAAAAGGGAGGAUGAGACCAUUGCUGAGCCAAGAAAUGACAAGUCAGUAGUAAAGAGCAUCCACACACUUCACAGUUGUAAAAUGGCUUUAUGUUCUGAUAUGUAAAAUAAAAUGUCCAUGCUAUAUAACAAAACACUUGAAGUUCCAUACCCCCUGUUGGCUAAUGUGUCUUUCUAAUAAAGUUUAAUCUGUGGUGUGUA